rnacentral:rRNA from 1 species
CCUACGGGCGGCAGCAGUGAGGAAUAUUGGUCAAUGGACGAGAGUCUGAACCAGCCAAGUAGCGUGAAGGAUGACUGCCCUAUGGGUUGUAAACUUCUUUUAUAUGGGAAUAAAAUGUUCCACGUGUGGGAUUUUGUAUGUACCAUAUGAAUAAGGAUCGGCUAACUCCGUGCCAGCAGCCGCGGUAAUACGGAGGAUCCGAGCGUUAUCCGGAUUUAUUGGGUUUAAAGGGAGCGUAGGUGGAUUGUUAAGUCAGUUGUGAAAGUUUGCGGCUCAACCGUAAAAUUGCAGUUGAAACUGGCAGUCUUGAGUACAGUAGAGGUGGGCGGAAUUCGUGGUGUAGCGGUGAAAUGCUUAGAUAUCACGAAGAACUCCGAUUGCGAAGGCAGUUCACUGGACUGCAACCGACACUGAGGCUCGAAAGUGUGGGUAUCAAACAGGAUUAGAUACCCUAGUAGUC